rnacentral:rRNA from 1 species
GACGAACGCUGGCGGCGUGCCUAAUACAUGCAAGUCGAGCGAAGUUUUUCUGGUGCUUGCACUAGAAAAACUUAGCGGCGAACGGGUGAGUAACACGUAAAGAACCUGCCUCAUAGAUUGGGACAACUAUUGGAAACGAUAGCUAAUACCGGAUAACAGUAUUUCUCGCAUGAGAGAUAUUUAAAAGUUGGUUAUGCUAACACUAUGAGAUGGCUUUGCGGUGCAUUAGCUAGUUGGUGGGGUAAAGGCCCACCAAGGCGACGAUGCAUAGCCGACCUGAGAGGGUGAUCGGCCACACUGGGACUGAGACACGGCCCAGACUCCUACGGGAGGCAGCAGUAGGGAAUCUUCCGCAAUGGGCGAAAGCCUGACGGAGCAACGCCGCGUGAGUGAAGAAGGAUUUCGGUUCGUAAAGCUCUGUUGUUAGGGAAGAAUGGAUAUGUAGUAACUAUACAUGUAAGAGACGGUACCUAACCAGAAAGCCACGGCUAACUACGUG